AUUUUCCUGCCUCAGCCUCCGGAGUAGCUGAGACCACAGGCGCCCGCCACCACGCCCGGCUAAUUUUUUUGUAUUUUUAGUAGAGACGGGGUUUCACCGUGUUAGCCAGGAUGGUCUCAAUCUCCUGACCUCGUGAUCCGCCCGCCUCGGCCUCCCAAAGAAUCUCCUUUUAAGAUUACAUUCUGUUCUCAGCCCCACGCAAACUUCUACAGACCUUCAGACAGAGCUGAAUUCCUUGGCCAGAGUAGAGUUCCACUGGCACACCGGGCAGCAAGCGCCAGCCAGCCAACCGUGCAGGCUCCCAGUGGCAGCUGUGGUUUUUCCCCCGCCCGUCGUGGCCGUUGCCGUGGCCAUUUCAUCUGGGGGCUCCAUCUGGGAUAUUCAUCAGAAGGGUGAGUUGAAAUGGAAAACUGUCGGAUCUGUCUCUUUUCCAAGACCCUGCCACCUCUCUCUUUCAUGCUCUGUUUCCUUUCGGGGAGGUCUAACUACCACAUGGGUCGGGAGUAAAGCCCCGGGGCAACUGAAGGCAUCUUUUGCUGGAAGGCCCCAAGGGUGAGCUCCAUUGGUCAAGAACCCCAGACUUCCUUUGGUGUCUUGUCUUCUCUCAUGGUUUGAAAUGGUUCUGAUCUUUCCUUUAUAAUGCUAAGCGUUUUGCUACAGAUUACGGCUGUAAUACUAAAUAGAAUGAGCAUUUGGCUCAGCCAUCAAAGGUGCAAAUCAGAACAACAUGGUUCUGUUUCCACCCCCACAUCCACAGGCACUCAGGGAACUUGACAAAUUCAUGCCCUGUCCCCUCCCAGCUUGGGAACCUGGUCAUGUUCACUGCAUGCAAAAGCCAUGUUCACUGGUCACGAGGGGCGGGAGAAAAACCACGGCUCUCACAGUAAUUUGUUACAGACAACAGAAAAGCAAUAGGGAAAUAAUACAUUAACAUUAUUUAAUCUGCAUAUCUCUGUAGGUGU
rnacentral:lncRNA from 10 species